CAGCCGCCGCGGGAAUACGGAGGGUGCAAGCGUUAAUCGGAAUUACUGGGCGUAAAGCGCACGCAGGCGGUCUGUCAAGUCGGAUGUGAAAUCCCCGGGCUCAACCUGGGAACUGCAUUCGAAACUGGCAGGCUAGAGUCUUGUAGAGGGGGGUAGAAUUCCAGGUGUAGCGGUGAAAUGCGUAGAGAUCUGGAGGAAUACCGGUGGAGAAGGCGGCCCCCUGGACAAAGACUGACGCUCAGGUGCGAAAGCGUGGGGAGCAAACAGGAUUAGAUACCCGGGUAGUCCCUGUCUCUUAUAC
rnacentral:rRNA from 1 species